rnacentral:rRNA from 1 species
GACGAACGCUGGCGGCGUGCUUAACACAUGCAAGUCGAACGGAAAGGCCCUGCUUUUAUGGGGUGCUCGAGUGGCGAACGGGUGAGUAACACGUGAGUAACCUGCCCUUGACUUUGGGAUGACUUCAGGAAACUGGGGCUAAUACCGGAUAGGAGCUCCUGCUGCAUGGUGGGGGUUGGAAAGUUUCGGCGGUUGGGGAUGGACUCGCGGCUUAUCAGCUUGUUGGUGGGGUAGUGGCUUACCAAGGCUUUGACGGGUAGCCGGCCUGAGAGGGUGACCGGCCACAUUGGGACUGAGAUACGGCCCAGACUCCUACGGGAGGCAGCAGUGGGGAAUAUUGCACAAUGGGCGGAAGCCUGAUGCAGCAACGCCGCGUGCGGGAUGACGGCCUUCGGGUUGUAAACCGCUUUCGCCUGUGACGAAGCGUGAGUGACGGUAAUGGGUAAAGAAGCACCGGCUAACUACGUG